rnacentral:rRNA from 1 species
UACAGAGGUCUCAAGCGUUGUUCGGAUUCAUUGGGCGUAAAGGGUGUGUAGGUGGCGCCGUAAGUCGGGUGUGAAAUUUCGGAGCUUAACUCCGAAACUGCAUUCGAUACUGCGGUGCUUGAGGACUGGAGAGGAGACUGGAAUUCAUGGUGUAGCAGUGAAAUGCGUAGAUAUCGGAAGGAACAUCAGUGGCGAAAGCGGCUUCCUGGACCAGAACUGACGAUCAGGCUCGAAAAGCGUGGGGAG